rnacentral:misc_RNA from 1 species
GAUUAGUAAAUUUGAUCAGAAGCAGUAAAUGAUAUCACAAGAAACUGAUGUUGCAAUGUUCAAUAUUGAUCCACACAUAUGAUCCAUACAAAUAACAUUCUCGUUAAAGUCUUGCAAAUGCUAUAAACUAUGAUCCUCUUCGUGUCUUCAAAGAAACUUGAAUACAGUUAAAUAAGAAAAGAGUGCAGUUACGUUAUUCCACACACGACACAUUCUUCGCCUACCUAGUAGCAGCAAAUACAAUAAGUGCAGAAGUCAGCAUUCCACCUCCCGCUAUGCUCAGCUCCACCUCAUUAUUGGGUCAUUCUCGCAAGUUGCAAACUUGAAAGAGGAUUUUCUGUGUGAAAUUGUAAAAAUCCUGACUAACUGAGAAUUUUCCUAAUAAUAGCAAAUGCAAUAACAAUUCAUGCAGGUCACAGAAAAUUAGCUGACACAUGAUCAAGAGGUGUAGAUAAUGGAUCAGAGAGUAAUAUUGGUCAAAUAAGGACUACUGACCAUGAGGUUCCAAUGAAAGCCCCUGUAGCAAGAGGGUGCUGGUAGGUGAAGGACUUGCAUACUUUGGUGGUUGAAGGCGGCUUGAAGCAGCCACAAGGAUAAUGUAAAAGAAGCCAAUCACAUUAUAGUGAGGAGUAAAAUUGAGCUUCCAUUUCUCAUCCUUCUGAGACCUCCAAGUUGUGUGUUGGUGUGUCUUUGAUGGCUUCACAUAAACCUUCCUGUAUGCAGCUAUCUGCAACAAUAAAGCAUAAGUCGGUCUUAUUACAUCUUGGAACAAGUUAACCAUAUGCUAUUGACCAGAAUUGUUUGUAAACAAUUUGGAAAUAAUCAUAUUGCAUAUCACAAUAACAGAGAAAAUCAAUAAGUCCAUUAACAAAACUUUGGCUAAUAGAAUGUACUUCAAAACAACCCAUUAGGAAAUAUAGACAAUCCAACUAUUUGAAGCAUAAACGCCAAUUUUUUGGAAUUAUUUGGGAUAAAUACAAUCACCAUAAACAAUUUAAGAAUUAUGCAUGAUAAUUGAAAAUGACUCAUGACACAUAACUCUCUAUAAAAUUAGAAUGAUAGUCCCAGUAGAAAAGUCGCAACAAGUUCAAACUUCCAGGGAAUAAACUCAGAAACACCAGUUAUACAAAAAAAAGCCUGUUGAGUAAUUAGUACAACACCUGUAUCCAUGAAAUUAUGAUUUAUGCAUAUAUUAUCCACUGCAUCUAAUUCUAUUUAUCAUCACUAGAGAUGAACAAAAGAACAGAAUACAGAAGAAGAUAACAAAGAUUCCAUCAACAUGAGAAAUUGAAAUAUAAUGUUGGAACAGAUAAGAGAUUGAACAAAGGAAUAGUACCUGAACUCUUCUCUUUUUCAAGCAGAAAAUUUGAGUAGUGCCACAGAUUUGUACCAUCAAUUCAUUGUCUCUUUUAUACUGAACUUUAUCUCAAUUCUAUUUACGAGGAUGCAAGCGACAAUGGGCCAAUAGUCUCCUUUUUCUUUAGACAACUGAUGUUUGAGAAGAGAACAAGACUUGAACGCCUGGUAUCCAAGUGUGGUGAGAAUUGGAGUUUGAGGGAACUUAAUAUCCAUAAAUCUUCUAGAGAAGUGAGGUUUUGGAGGCUCUCCACAAAGGCAUUCCAAAUUAAUUAGUGGGAAGUGGUAAGCCACCCUCAUCUAGAAAGGAAAUUGUAUUUGUACUCCAACUUUUGCCUUUCAUUACCAAUUCACCUUACUUAUCUUGGAAAUCAUCAACCAAACCCAAGUCUAAUCCUUCAACAGCUUACUUCUCCUUUAGAGCAGUAGACUUUACAUCUCAAUUACUAACCACAUUAUUGUAAUGUCAAGCUUCCCUUCUAGAUAAGGGAGAUUCAUCAAUCCUGUUAUCCCCAACUAACUCUACUAAUUUCAAGAAUUUUAAUUUGUAACUAAGCCAUUGUUACUCAUAAUGAAAAAGUCAAUAAUAUUAGGAGAACGUUCUCAAGCUCUUGAUUUUGUAGACGGCUUAAAACUUUAGCAAGAUAACCAAGAAGUGAAUGAUGAAUGUUGAACCUUUAUACAAGAUUUUGUAACCUCCAAUUUAUCAUCCAAAUUAAAGCAUACUUCUCCGUUAACAAAUUGAGCUAAAUCACUUAGCAAAUCACACACUAUGCAUUAUCUUCAUGAUGAUAUAACCACCAACAAAAAUAGCUAAUCGCUUACCAGAUCACAGAUCACAUAUUAUCUCCAUGAUGAUAUAAUUCAAGUUAAAACACAUUUCUCCACCAACAAAUUGAGCUAGAUCACUUACCAGAUCAUAUAUCACACAUUUUAUCUUCAUGAUGAUAUAAUGUUAAUAGUUAUAAAGCAUGAGUCUAUGUAUAUUCUAAAACUUCUUAUGCCAUCCAUAACAAAACCAACUCAUUCUUGUCUAAUUCGAUAUCCUUAGGAAAAAUUGCACAAUAAGCAUAACACCGUUACCUGUGAAGGAAGAUGAUAAUAGCUCAAUCUCAAAACUUGAAGGAUAUCAAUACUAUAAUACUCCUAAUUCUCGGUCCAAACAUCAUCUAGACUGACUGAAAACUUCUUUCCAAACAAGAAUGUUAAAUUCAUUAGAAACAUAAAUUCAUGCUUUAUUAUCAAAUUUCCCUAUAUCAUCAUUGCACACAAUUUGGGGUUGAAAUUUCUUCCCUACUCCAUCCAUGCCUAUUAAAAGCACAAAAACUCAAGUUAUUUCCUUUAUUACUCAUCAACAAUUCAAAUAUAGAAUACUCAUUAUUUUCCUUUCCAUAAAUAGUAAGCUCCUUCGCCAACACCACUGUUGGAACUCUUUUGUUCAUCUUAUUGGAAUUCCCUUCAACAGUCAUCCUCAAAUACAUGGUCACAACUUCCUCAUACCUAGUAGCCAUCUCCCUUAGCUUGCACCCUACCUUUACAUUCCAAGGAUAAUUUGAGCAAUUCUGCAUAUGCCAAAUUUUCAAAUCAAAGGUUGAAGAAAAGAUGAAAAAGAAUAACUCCUAAAACUUAAAGAAAAGAUUUUGUUGUAUGAAGACCAAAUUUUCGUUGAAUCACAAAAUAAUAUUAUCUUGUAAAUUGGUAUUCCCUAAGCAAAUAUAAUUAUAAAGAACAAAAUAGCACUUUUAGGUAAAGUCUUAACAUGAUACAGAUCUAUAAAGUCCAUAAUAGAUUUUGUCAAGAACAAUGAUUUAAAAUUAAACAUCCAAUUAAAAAACAAAUCUAAAAGUCAGAGGCCAUAUUAUAAGUAACUUACCUUCACCCUUCUUUUCUUCCCCUUUUCAGCUGAAUAUCCAAGAAUCCUGGACGCCUGAGGCUGUUAGAUGCAAAGAGAUCUGUUAAGCUUAGCAACUGAUUGCAGAGAAAGCAAAUUGAAAAUAAGGG